UCUAGCAAAUGUGCAUACCUAUCUCAGCUAGGUACCUAGAACGCUUGGUGGGUUAUAUGACCUCCUGCGAGUGGUCACCAUAUGUUAAAGAUAAAGACCAUAGAAGGUUUCCCGCGGUCGGAGAUAUACCGAUCCGUGGGUCUAGAAAUAAGUAAUUUCCAUUCUCAUGUUAGCUACCUAAGCUAGGAUUUUAAGAAAUAAAUUUAGUUUGAAAUAUCAACUCAACAACGUCAGACGCUCGUUUUAUGUACAGCCUCUCUCGACAUUUUGGUCCUUCGAGCGCUUUGCAACCUUCCCCCCUGUGACGCGUGUCUCUUUUUUUACAGCCUCUCUGACAUUUUGUGGUACUUUGGCCGCUCGAUCAAAGACGUCAGACGCUUGUUUCAUGUACAGCCUCUCUCGACAUUUUUGUCCUUCGGCCGCUCUGCAACUUUCCCCCCUGUGGUAAGAGGUUCAGAGUUAUAAACCAGCACCUUAAAAGUAUUAAGGUUGCUAAAAAUAAAAAUCUCUUGUGUCCCCCCACCCGUGGUAAGGAACAGAGAAUAAAUAUAUGAACAAAAAGACACAAAAGAGUCUUUUAUGUUUUAAAAUACUAGCACCAUUUAGGUUGCUGAAAUACCAUGGAAGAAAUGGUAAGGCGUGCUGAAGCCAUGAAUAUCAGUAGUGAAUGUGUUUAAAAGAAAAGAAAAAAAAAAAAAAAAGAUAUAAAAAGUGCAUUAAAUUAAAAAAUAAUACAAAAAAAAAAAAAACAAAAAAUUGUUCCACCUCCAUUGGUUGGUUUUUUAAGUAUCCAACUCAAGACGGGUACAGAAGGAGGGAAGACCGCACGGCAGCAAAGAAGUCUGCAAAAACAACUACAGCCGCAGCGACGAUACAGGCGGCAUCAGAAAAUCGUCCUACAGCCAACAACGGCGGCAGCGACGACAGCAGCAGCAGAAACAACAACAUCAACAUUAAAGACGACGGCGGCGCGGCAGAAGCGGAAGAAGCAGCAGCUUAGUCAACUUUAUUAAAAAUUCUUUUUUAUUAGAAAUAUAAUUA